UUUAUUUGUUUACCUUCUUGUGUCAAAAAGCUAAGCAGANCUGGACNNGGUUAGUAUUUGGAUAGGAGACCACCAGGAAAUCCCAAAGUGGUGGAUAAGA
rnacentral:rRNA from 1 species